UACGUAGGGUGCAAGCGUUAAUCGGAAUUACUGGGCGUAAAGCGUGCGCAGGCGGUUGUGCAAGACAGAUGUGAAAUCCCCGGGCUCAACCUGGGAACUGCAUUUGUGACUGCACGGCUAGAGUGUGUCAGAGGGGGGUAGAAUUCCACGUGUAGCAGUGAAAUGCGUAGAUAUGUAGAGGAAUACCGAUGGCGAAGGCAGCCCCCUGGGAUAACACUGACGCUCAUGCACGAAAGCGUGGGGAGCAAACAGG
rnacentral:rRNA from 1 species